rnacentral:rRNA from 1 species
AUCCUCUGAAAACCCUAGAGAUAGGGCUUCUCCUUCGGGAGCAGAGUGACAGGUGGUGCAUGGUUGUCGUCAGCUCGUGUCGUGAGAUGUUGGGUUAAGUCCCGCAACGAGCGCAACCCUUGAUCUUAGUUGCCAUCAUUAAGUUGGGCACUCUAAGGUGACUGCCGGUGACAAACCGGAGGAAGGUGGGGAUGACGUCAAAUCAUCAUGCCCCUUAUGACCUGGGCUACACACGUGCUACAAUGGACGGUACAAAGAGCUGCAAGACCGCGAGGUGGAGCUAAUCUCAUAAAACCGUUCUCAGUUCGGAUUGUAGGCUGCAACUCGCCUACAUGAAGCUGGAAUCGCUAGUAAUCGCGGAUCAGCAUGCCGCGGUGAAUACGUUCCCGGGCCUUGUACACACCGCCCGUCACACCACGAGAGUUUGUAACACCCGAAGUCGGUGGGGUAACCUUUAUGGAGCCAGCCGCCUAAGGUGGGACAGAUGAUUGGGGUGAAGUCGUAACAAGGUAGCCGUAUCGGAAGGUGCGGCUGGAUCACCUCCUUUCUAUGGA